AAAAAAUUAUAAUAAUGGCAUUAUACAUAAUAUUUUCAAUUCAUUAAGAAUACUUUUGUAAUUGACUACUCUAAAAUUAACAUGAAAACUACACAUAAGAAACUGACUUCUCAAAUAAUAUUAUAGAGAUAUAAAUAUAUAUUUUUUUGAAAUGGCUUAGGGCAUUAUAAUAUGUUAGACCGGCACUGUUGGCCGCUCAGAGAUCUCCUGCGGUUGCUGGAGGAUGAGAGUCUGAUGUCCGGGAACGGCAAGCUACGGCUCGAUCCUCCGGUAUAAACAGAAUCGUAUAUAAGGAGGUGGUGAUGGAGAUUCAUAGAAACUGAGAUUCUCUGUUUCUUUGUUGAGGGAAAAAUCGAAAAAGAUUUCACAGCCUGCGUUGGGAAAAACCUCCUCCAAGACCAAAGAAGAUACCAAAGAACUUUUCAGAAUCGAAUGAAUGAGAGGAAGUAACAACUGGCUCUAUGAGUUAAUGACGUCCAGGAGGCUGGGGAGACAUGAUCAAGGUGUGAUCAUUGGUUUCAUCACUUUAGAGUCCACAAAUUCAUGUUCUAUCAACUUUGUGUUCUACUUUUGAAUAUUUUCAGUUGUAAAACGGAAGAACAAAUAUAGCAAAUGUGCCAAUUUUUAGUGAAUGAAGCUAUUUUACUUGUGUUU